rnacentral:rRNA from 1 species
CCUACGGGAGGCAGCAGUGGGGAAUAUUGGACAAUGGUGGGAACCCUGAUCCAGCGACGCCGCGUGAGUGAUGAAGUUUUUCGGUAUGUAAACCUCUAUCAUCAGGGAAGAAAAUGACGGUACCUGACUAAUAAGCCCCGGCUAACUACGUGCCAGCAGCCGCGGUAAUACGUAGGGUGCAAGCGUUAUCCGGAUUUACUGGGUGUAAAGGGCGCGUAGCCGGUGCAGCAAGUCUGAUGUGAAAUGCCAGGGCUCAACCCCAGAACUGCAUUGGAGACUGUUGAACUGGAGUACAGGAGAGGUAAGCGGAAUUCUUAGUGUAGCGGUGAAAUGCGUAGAUAUUAGGAGGAACACCAGUGGUGAAGGCGGCUUACUGGAAUGUAACUGACGUUGAGGCUCGAAAGCGUGGGGAGCAAACAGGAUUAGAUACCCCAGUAGUC